UGGAAGUAAAAGUCGUAACAAGGUCUCCGUUGGUGAACCAGCGGAGGGAUCAUUACCGAGUAUCUACUCAUAACCCUUUGUGAACCAUAUUGUUGCUUCGGCGGCUCGUUCUGCGAGCCCGCCGGUACAUCAGUCUCUUUAUUCAUACCAACGAUACUUCUGAGUGUUCUUAGCGAACUAUUAAAACUUUUAACAACGGAUCUCUUGGCUCUAGCAUCGAUGAAGAACGCAGCGAAACGCGAUAUGUAGUGUGAAUUGCAGAAUUCAGUGAAUCAUCGAAUCUUUGAACGCACAUGGCGCCUUCCAGUAUCCUGGGAGGCAUGCCUGUCCGAGCGUCGUUUCAACCCUCGAGCCCCAGUGGCCCGGUGUUGGGGAUCUACGUCUGUAGGCCCUUAAAAGCAGUGGCGGACCCGCGUGGCCCUUCCUUGCGUAGUAAUUACAGCUCGCAUCGGAGUCCCGCAGGCACUUGCCUCUAAACCCCCUACAAGCCCGCCUCGUGCGGCAACGGUUGACCUCGGAUCAGGUAGGAAUACCCGCUGAACUUAAGCAUAUCAAUAAGCGGAGGAA
rnacentral:rRNA from 1 species